UGCACAAAGAACUACUAGAGAAACUGG
rnacentral:piRNA from 1 species